UGUCCCACUGUUCGAGUCGGCUCUAUCAGGCUUCGAGCUGACUUGAUCUGGUUCACAGCUCUCUGUUUGCUGUUCAAGCUAGCUCGACUGCUGUGCCAUCUCUUGAUGUCAGAAAUAUAACUCUCUAUCUAUUAUCUGAGCUGGCUCUCUCAAAGCUCGAACCAACUCGACGAUUGACUGAUGUUCCUGAUGCUUCCUUCAUCCUUUGGUCUUUCUUCAUCUAUUUUCAAGACUUGAAAGUACCAUACCUGAGCUCACAAUCUCCAUCUUAGUGCUUCUAAGUCCUUAUGAACUUAGUCUUAUCCAUCAAUCCCAUCAAUGUCACAAAAUAGCGAAAGCUGUCUCGUGAAAGUACCUUCAUGAGUACAUCAACUGGAUUCUCUUUGGUGUGAAUCUUCACCUGCUCUACUUUACCAUCCUCCACAAGCUCUCUGAUCCGAUGGUACCUGAUGUCAAUGUGCUUCAUCCUCACAUGAUAAACAGAGUUCUCUUCAUCCUCACAUGAUAAACAGAGUUCUGUGUAAGCAACAAAGUACUUUGACUGUCAGAAUGCACUCUAACAACAUCCUGUAGAAAGCCCGUGUCUAAUGUCAAGCCCUUCAGCCAUAGGGCUUCCUUCGCUGCCUUAGUGAUGCCAAUGUGCUCCACUUCAGUAGUAGAUAAAGCCAUUAUGGGUUGCAAGCAAGAUCUCCACGAGUAUCCUUACAUACUAAAUAUAAAAUCUGUAUCUACAUCGAGUAUCCACAUCUCCAUCAAAAUCUACAUUCAUAAAUUCUUUUAUAAUCUUCUGAGCCUCCUUGGAUAUGUUGGAGUGUCUAUCAGCACCUCCUUGCUGACCAUAGCAAAUACCAACUCCAACUGUACUAGCUAAGUAUCUGAAAAUAUCUUUCAGUGCUCUCUGUCAGGUUGCACCAUAAAUCUACUCAUUUGACUCACUGCAUGGGCUAUAUCCGACCUACAACAUACCAUAGAGUACAUAACGCUUCUUACACCAGAGGUAUAUUGUACUCUCUCUAUCUCCUGAACCUCCAUCUCAGUCUUUAGCGAUAUAGUUUUUGAGAGUUUGAAGUGCCCGGUAAGUAAUAGCUUUGCCAGUUUCGCAUCUUUCAUCCCAUAUCUCUCCAAAACCUUCCUUAUGUAGCCUUCUUGAGAUAAGUAUAACAGCUCCUUGGAUCUAUCUCUACUAAUCUCCAUACCUAAGAUCUUUUAUGCAGGCCCUAAGUUCUUCAUCUCAAACUCUCGAGACAAAGCUUCUUUUAACUCCUGCACAACUUCUUUACUCUUGCAUGCAAUCAACAUAUUACAUCCAUCUACUCCAGAGAUCUAACAUACAUCCAUGGGUCAUAAUCACAUAUCGAAAGGCCAAUGCUCUUCACAUAAAUGUUAAAUCGCUUGUACCAGUAUCUAAGAGAUUAUUUCAAUCUGUACAGCAAUUUUUUCAGCAAACAAACCAUUCCAUCUGAUCUAGAUUCUCUAAACACCUUUGACUGCUUCAUAUAAAUAUUUUCUCUCUAAAUGACUAUAAAGGAAUGCCGUCUUCACAUCCAUCUACUCUAAUUUCAGAUUCUAUGCUGCUACAAUGCUAAACAGUAUCCUGAUAGAUGUAUGCCUGAUGAUCGAAGAGAAAAUCUUUGUAUAAUCAACUCUUUCUCUCUGUGAGUAUCCUUUGGCUACAAGUCUAGCCUUGUAUCUCACUCUACUUUGCUCUGAAGGUGCCUCCUUUUUUGUAUAAACCCAUUUGAAGCCAAUGAGUCGAGCAUCCUCCGGUAGAUCCACCAACUAUCAUGUCCGAUUCUUUCUGAGAGACUCCAUCUCUUCCAUCAUGGCCUGUAUCCAUGAAUCCCGAUCCAAACUCUCCAUGACCUUUUCAAAGGUCUUUGGAUCACCAUUAGCAGUAAUGAGAAUAUAAAAAAUCAUCUCAUUAAUGCCAUAUCUCAUCGAUUUAUGAAUAGUAUGCUUUGGCUUGUGUAGUGUCACUCCCCUUGCUGUAUCUUGCAAGUCUAUUACCUGUGACUGCCUUUGUACUUUCUUUCAGACAGUAUCCUCACCUCGCUGAUCCUCCACAGGUGUAUAACCAUGUCUUCCCAACUCCACCUCAAAUUGAACAUGUUUUGAGUCUGAAGUUGAAGGCAAAUCACCUGAUUGCGAGUGCUGUUUACUGCUAUCCUGAGCUGUCUUUCCUGCUCCAUUCGUACUUUCUGAUUUCUUCAAGAUACUCUUUUCAUCAAAGAUCAUAUUCCUGUUAAUAAAAAACUUCUAAAAAUAUGGAUCUCACAAUAAAUAACCCUUCACACCUGCAGGAUACUCGAUGAAGAUCAUCUUCUGUGACUUAGGGCCCAACUUGCUCUGUUCAGCUUCCUCCACCAAAGCAUAAGCUGGACAGCUGAACACCUUCAGAUGGUCAGGCUCUACUUUCUUCCCACUCCAGACUACCUCUGGAAGUCCUCCAUUGAGUGAUCUAUGGGAUGAUCUGUUAACAAGAAAAUAAGCAUUUGUUAGAGCAUCACCCCAAAAAGACUUGGGCAAUGAUGCUUGCAGCCUCAAGCUCCUAACCUUCUCAAUCCAUGUUCGAUUCAUCCUCUCCACGAGACCAUUUUAUUGAGAGGUCAUCCUCACUUUGUAAUAAUGCUUGAUGCCAUUUUUCUCAUAGUACCUCUUAAACUCCAAGCUUGUGUACUCCUCUCCAUUAUCAAAUCUUUUACACUUCACUAGCUGCCUUGUCUUCUUCUCCACCUCAGCUCUCUAGAUCUUAAAUCGGAUAAAUACCUCUAAUUUUUUUCUAAUCAGAUAUACCCAAACCCUUCUGAAGAAGUCAACUAUAAAGGUGACAAAGUAUCUAGUUCCAUCCUAAGCUAUAACAGGUGCCAGUCCCCAUACAUCAUAGUAAACAAGCUCCAAAACAGCUUCAUUUCGCUUGGAAUUACUAGCAAACUUCAUCCUGCGCUGUUUGUUAUAAAUACAAAGCUCACAAAGAUCAUCACCUUUCUUUUUGAGUGCUAAAAUCAGUCUUCUCCUACUCAAUUUCGUGAGCCCCUGGUCACUCAUGUGACUCAUACGAUAGUACCACAGUUGGUAGUCGAGCUGCUCCUCCUAUGCUGCUGCAGAAGCCUUUGCAUUAUGGUUAACCACUGAGCUUUCCAUUCUAUACAAGUUAUAGCUUAGUCUUCUACCUUUCAUCACCACCAAAAUACCCUUGGAGAUCUUCAAACACCCACUCUCUGACUGACAACUGAAAGUAUAUCUCUACUUCUCUAUGUACCUAGGGAUAUCAAAUUCUUCUUCAGUUUUGGUACAUGCUUCACAUUAGUAAGUGUCCGUAUGACUCCAUUAUACAUCCUCAUCCUGAUAGCAUCAACACCAACCACUCUACAUGGGUGAUCAUCUCCAAGACUCACACUACCACCAUCUGAUUUGUCAUAGGAGGCAAACUAUCACGAUGUGCAAUGUAGUGGUGGAAACAUACUGAAUCAAGUGUCCAAUGGCUAUCAAACUUUACUGUCCCAUCUAAUACUACCAGUACAUCAUCUCCACUAUCUUUAGAUGAUAGAGCACCACUCCUACUGAUCAAUCCAACCUUGCCUUUCCCCUUUUCAUUCUUGAAAAGUGGGUAAUACUUCCUUAAAUGACUAGGCUGAUGACAUUUGUAGCAUUUCACGGUCUUCAAAUUUUUUUUGAGACUUCGAUCUACCCUUAGAUUUAUCUCGAGUCCUCUUCUUAGGUCUCCCUUACCUCUCAUUCACAGUAAGCACCUUUGAGUUAGAGCUACCUUUACAUAGCAUUUCAUUUGACCUGAGAACUCCAACCACUUCCUCAAAUUCAGGAUCUCUUUUCCAUACACCAAAAUAGUAAUGAGACCACCAUAAGAAACUAGCAAUGAACACAAUAAUAGGAAAGCUCUAUCCUCCUCAUCAAUCUUCACAUCAAAGCUCAUGACAUCCGAACAAACUUAAUUAAAUUUCUGACAUCCUCAAAGUACAUUCUAAUUGUGCUAAAAAUUAUUUUCUUCAAUUCCUCUCAAUCUUCAAUAGAAAUCUUUUUAGAUCUAUCUCUAAUCAAAACCUUAUAAAUUCUGUUCUAAACUAACAGAUCCUUCAUCCCUUGCUACCAAAGGAUAAAAUUUUUCUUGCCAUCAAACUUUUCAAAGUCUGCCUUAAGGCUACUUGACGCCAUUCCACAUAGAUUUCAAUUCUAAUAUAAGAAAUACUUACAAAACUAUAUAAUUCUGGAUAAAAUAGGAUAGAUUACUCAAGAUCAAAAUAAAUCUUUAACCCAAAUUAGGCAUCCAAGACCUUUUCUCCAUCAGAUCUAGCUCCAGAGCUUUGAUACCAACUGAUGCCAGGAUUGGAUCUUCUCUUGCUGGUCGUAGAUCAUAGAAGCAGCAGCAAAGAUGGAAGAAAAAUUUUGAUGGCAGAUUAGAUCAGGCCUAGAUAAACCCUAGGCAUGAGGAAGAGGAGAGAAAAACAUGAGAGGGGGAGAGAGGGAGAGCAAUUAUGGAGAAAAAGCUUCAAUUCUGAUUUCAUUCUAUCAAAACCAUAUACAAAAUUAUAUAUAUAGAUGGUCAAUUUGAUCCAAACCAAAAACUCUCCAGCUAAACCAAUUUGGUAUAAUUUUUAAGUCUAUGUACACCCAUGUCUUGCCAUGCACACCCAUUAGACUAAACCCCUAGUCUAAUCCUUGGAUUAGCUCCUUAAGACCUUCAAAAUCAAGAUCUUAAGUCACUAGAAUUAAACCUAAUUCUAGCUCAAACCAGAAUCCCAUAAAAGUUCUAUCCAUGCCAUCAAGCCGGCUUUGUCAGGCUUCGAGCCAGCUUUGGUACGUCUGAUCUGUAGCAUACCAAAAAUACUACCUUCUGUCCCAUUAUUUGAGCCAGCUGUAUCAAGCUUUAAGCCAACUCGAUCUAGCCUAUAGCUCUCUGUUUGUUGUUCGAGCCGGCUCUCUUAAAGCUCAAACUGGCUCGACUAUUGUAUCCUCCCCUGAUGCCAGAAAUAUAACUCUCUAUCUACUAUCUGAGCCGACUCUCUCAGAGCUCGAGUCGGCUCGACUAUUGACUGAAGCUCCUGAUGCUUCUUUCACUCCUUGACCUUUCUUCAUCUAUUCCCAAGGCUUGGAAGCAUCACACCUAAGCUCACAUUGACUUGACACCAAAUAGGCCGAACCUAUUGGCAAGCCAGACCAUGGUCGAGCUUACACUCACAUCAAUCUCCAUGCAUGGACGAACCUCCACACCCCUCACCUC
rnacentral:lncRNA from 1 species